UACGCAGGGUGCAAGCGUUAAUCGGAAUUACUGGGCGUAAAGCGUGCGCAGGCGGUUUUGUAAGACUGUCGUGAAAUCCCCGGGCUUAACCUGGGAAUGGCGAUGGUGACUGCAAGGCUAGAGUUUGGCAGAGGGGGGUAGAAUUCCACGUGUAGCAGUGAAAUGCGUAGAUAUGUGGAGGAACACCGAUGGCGAAGGCAGCCCCCUGGGUCAAAACUGACGCUCAUGCACGAAAGCGUGGGGAGCAAACAGG
rnacentral:rRNA from 1 species